GAUGAACGCUGGCGGCGUGCCUAAUACAUGCAAGUCGAGCGAACGGACGAGAAGCUUGCUUUUCUGAUGUUAGCGGCGGACGGGUGAGUAACACGUGGAUAACCUACCUAUAAGACUGGGAUAACUUCGGGAAACCGGAGCUAAUAUCGGAUAAUAUUUUGAACCGCAUGGUUCAAAAGUGAAAGACGGUCUUGCUGUCACUUAUAGAUGGAUCCGCGCUGCAUUAGCUAGUUGGUAAGGUAACGGCUUACCAAGGCAACGAUGCAUAGCCGACCUGAGAGGGUGAUCGGCCACACUGGAGCUGGGACACGGUCCAGACUCCUACGGGAGGCAGCAGUAGGGAAUCUUCCGCAAUGGGCGAAAGCCUGACGGAGCAACGCCGCGUGAGUGAUGAAGGUCUUCGGAUCGUAAAACUCUGUUAUUAGGGAAGAACAUAUGUGUAAGUAACUGUGCACAUCUUGACGGUACCUAAUCAGAAAGCCACGGCUAACUACGUG
rnacentral:rRNA from 1 species